rnacentral:lncRNA from 10 species
AUAUUACCACAAUGAUUUCAAGAUGAAUUAAAAAGGCAAAUGUUGAAAGCUAAAUUUCAAAUUCAUUUGAAUAUGAAUUGAUAUUUACAUAAUCUGGAGUGAGGCAGAGCCUGCAUAGAGCUGGACACCAUAAGGGAAAGGACUAUAGAUUAACUAGAUAAAAUUUCACAUCGCAAUUUUCCAAACAAAAUUUUAUCCUGUUUAGUAAACAUCACUUAAACACAAUUUUAACAUUAUAAAUAUAUCUGCACAUAUACAUGUACAAAUGUGUUAUUUAUGUAGAAAGAGUUAAAACAGAUCAACAGCAAAACAUGCAUUUUUGUACAUAAGUGAUUAACAAGGGAGGGUAAUGUGCUUCUUUUUUCAAAAAUAGUCACUAGCUUGGGCACAGUGGCUCACACCUAUAAUCCUAGCACUUUGGGCAGAAGUGCUUGAAUCCAGAAGUUUGACAUCAGCUUGGGCAACAUAGCGAGACACCAACUCCACAAAAUUUUUUUUUUUAAAAAGCCAGGCAUGGUGGCACACACCCGUAGUCCCAGCUACUCAGGAGGCUGAAGCAGGAGGAUUAUGUGAGCUGGAGGUCGAGGCUGCAGUGAUCAAUCAGGCCACUGAACUCCAGCCUGGGUGACAGACUUCAUCUCCAAAAACAAAAAAUAGUCAUUAAAAAGAAAGGCCCUGCUGCAAAAGAAGAAAGGCAGUGGAUUUGUCAUACAGUCUAACUUUUAUGAAGAGUUUACUUACUGCUACUUUUAAAGGGUAUCUUACAGUCUGUAAAUUGGCAGAUGGAAUAAUGACUUGUACUUCCCUCUUAUGAGUAAUUAAAGCAGCUUAUUUUUGUUCAGUGCUUCAACACCUUCAUUUACUGUCUGAUUAGACAACUUUUCUAGAAUCUGCUAUCUGCAAACCCUCCUCUCAUAUGCAGAUCUACAACGUGUGAAUAUAACAUUCCUGAUUAUAUCAUGACCACUCCCAGUGGGCUCUGCUGGUAGCUUGUUUUGUAUAGGUAUAGAUCCAGUGCUGUUUCCUCUUUAUUCUUUUUAUUGAGCACUCUUAUACAUAUA